rnacentral:tRNA from 1 species
AAGGCUUUAGUUUAUUUGUUUGAAUAAAGAAUUGUAAAUUCUUAGGUUGGAAGUCUUG